ensembl:lncRNA
ACGACUGAUACCGAGGGGCUACAGUAAGACAGAGCAUCAAGUCUGCUGGGCCCUACCUGUGCUAGAAGCAGCAAAACUGAGCUCUUCCUAUGAGAGCAGAAAUGGAGACUGCAUGAGAUAACUGGUCACCAGUGACAGCCACGUACAAACCUUUGGUGACUUGGACUUUGAAAGAUAUACAGCAGCUCAGUAUUUCCUGUGAACACAUCUCCCACUGGUGAUGAAAGAGCCACAUGUUUUCCGAGGUCUUCUAAAACUGAGAUGACAGAAGAUAAGGCAGCUAGAAUAGAAAGCUGUAAUUUUGUACUAGAGUGACCCAUCAUCAGUGGUUAUUUGGAAAGGAGUGAAAACUGAUUCGAAGAGGUGAAUAAUGGUUAUGUAUUUCCUAAGUGCUUCUGAUUUUUUAGAGCACUUUUAGAAACGGCUAGCAUCUUCCUUUCAUUACCCAGCAGAAGUGGAACACAAAAUAUGACUAGCUGAGGUGGAAUUCAAAGCCCACCCAAAUCAAAAAUAUGAAGGCCUAUGAGAUUAAUUUAUUUGGAAAAGCAUGGUCUCUAGUUAAGCUGCAUUAGAAAAACAUUAUGACUCAAAUAUCACCAUUUUCUAGGGGAAAAAAAAGGUAAAAAACAUGCAGAAUACAGUCUAAAUUAUAUUGGCUGAAUUAGGAUAGAUUUAUUAAGUAUGGUGUACAUAUUUCACAGGAUCUCAAAUAGCAAUCAGUGAAAAUUUGAGCUUGCAAACAGGAACCAAAAUAUUUCUUUACAUAUCUGUUUUAGAAACAGUUGGAGAUGGGGUUUGUACAUUACGAAAUGCUUGGCUGGGUGCUACAACCCGCUAUCCAAUAUCUACGUGUGGCUGCAAAGUGUUUCCAGUUGGAGCAUUUAGAGUCUCAGCUUCCACUCUUGGCUAAUGUUUCCACUCUGCCAAAAGUUUCAUCCACAACAGGGCAAGUUCUUUUAUUUAAAGGAAGUGAAUUAUAUCAUAUAAACAAGACUAACAUAAAACAAACAAUAAAACACCACCCAUACCCCCUCCAAACAUCUCAGCACCAACAAAACAAGAACCAAAGUCAAAAGCGUUGCACUAUGUGGUGCCGCAGGCUGCCUGCCCAUCUCUUACAGCCUGUCUAGCAAAUGCAUACAACUCUUCUGCAGAAAGAAAUCAAGCAGAGCAGUAAAGACUUCCUGCUACACUGAAAUUUGCUAGCUGUGUUCAUCCUUGCAUCACUGUGCAUGUUCUCAUGUUCUUCUAUUCUGUGCUAUGCUCUUACGGCAAAAGAUUUCACAACAUUUUUGCUUCAAUCCACCAGAUCAACAUUAGGAUUGCUGAAUAAAUACAGCUCUAUGGCAACAAGGAUGGGCUAAUUAAAAGUACUUGCAGCACAGAAGAUUCAGACUAACAAGCAUUUUUUAAUCAUCAGUUACAGAAAUUCUGCAUAAAAAGCUACACGCAGCACGAAUUCAGUGUCCUUAAUUCCCCAAAGCCAAAGUACAUCAGCAGCACCCAACCUGUGGUAUUGCUCACACACAGCCCUGUCCCUGCCCAGAACCUGAACCUCCAUCCCUCACUGGCUCUUCUGCAAUAUUUGGUACCAAAGCUGUGGCUAAAUUUAAAGGCAGCAUCUGAAAAGAAACAGUGGACACAUGUUCCUCUGUUGUUAGCAUUGCAUCAACUACUAUGUUUCAACCCAGCCAGCAACAGUGCCCAGUGUAUGUGCUGAAAGACAAAUAUUCCUCUACCUCUAAUAACUCUAGGUUUGUUAUUGACUUUAAAAAUAUUGGAAUAUUUAGAGCAUUAACAAACUCUUUAAAAGAUGUCUAUUAACAGCAGAGCCACAGUUUGAAAUGGCCAUCACAGAAUGUUCUUCAGAUCACAUUAAAGAUCUGAGCCUUAAACUUCUGGAGCACCUCCCAGGCUGGGUGGGAUAACAGACGGGAUCAAUGAGAGCCACACACUGAUAUUUCACCCAGAUGCAAUGAGUUUAUAUUUACUGUCUGGUUCACGCUGUAUUUGAAAGAACAUCCACUAUCAAGACACAAAUAAACGUACAAAUGAAACAGAAACACAACCCGUAAAAAUAAAUGCACAUUCUCAAGCUGUUUCUACACUAAUUUGUCAGGUGUAGCCCUGCUAGCUGUAUCACAGCAGCAGCAUUAUCAAACGAUAGGAUGAGAAAUGGUUCUAGCAACGAGAGCAGCCUAGAGGCUCUCGCUUGGUGAGGAAGUAUAACUCUGGAUCAUUCUUAAUUCAAAGUUAAAUUUCACAAGUAUAAACCAGAAUAUUUUUGUAGUGUAGAAACGAUUAUUUUUAGUCUUCUGUAACAGCUCUCCCAUGCAUUCAUUUCUUGAAUUUAAAAAAUUGCUGCCUAGAUCUUUUUCUAUUAAGCCUUCCCUAAAUGCUAUUCACUGAGCAUACACAUGCAGGAGCUUCAUAAAUUUCUUGCUAAAACCUUCUGUCCUUAAUCCUGCCUGGACCACCAAGGAAGCUGCAUAGCUAGAUCCUGCUAGGGGUAGGGGUUUUUCCACUUUCAUUCAUUUAUCUUUUAAAAUUAAGCCAUUUUGUAUCCUGCUUGGUAUUUCCACGAUGACAUCUGAAUUGCACUUUGGAGUCCCCAGCUACUAAUAGAGCUCAAGGUAACUAUUAGUUUUACAUUUAAAUAACAACAAAAAGUAGAACAAAUUAAGAAAAGCAAAUACAGAAACUAACUUAAUUACAGUUCUCAUAUACACACAGGGAGGGCAGGAAACCUCAAGAGAAAGGAGCUACGUUUCUUCCCAAUCUGCUUAUUAUGUGGGCAUUCAGGAAUAUACGCUCUGUCCUCUCAGACCUGCUGCAAACAGUUUCCCUCACAUCAUGCAGUCGAGAAGGGAACAAGUGAAGAAGAAUUUGAGGAUUAAUCAGUGUGUUAAUUGAGGUUAUCUAGAUUGUGAUAGAUGGGGACAAUAUACUAAACAAGUUACUAAGGCAGCUGAACUCAUCUGUUAAAACCAAAAUUAAUGGAUAAACAAAAUUAAGUUCACUUUCUCAUUGAUUUUUAUCCAGCUGCACUGGACUAUAAAAGAGCUAUCAGGGAAAGCUAUCCAUUAGCUGUCAACUCAGAAUGCCUUAAGAAGCAAUCGCUAAUCCUCCAGUGAUGUCUCACUAAAUCCUAAUCUCUACAAAUUGCUCUUAGGAAGAGCAUUAAACUUGACAUCAAACCAGGUCUUUAAUGCUUCCUAAUGUUAUUCAACCUGUGAGCCAUUAGAGAUCAUACAAUGCAAUACAACUUAUAAAUCC